UCCCUGGUAGUCCAGUGGUUUGGACUCUGUGCUUCCACUUCAGGGGGUACAGGUUCAAACCCUGGUCCAGGAA
rnacentral:tRNA from 1 species